AAAAAGGAGGAGAGAGAAACGGAGAGCAGAGAGCUCUCGCUCAAAGAAAGGAAGAGGGAGAGGAGGAGAAGAAGAAGAAGAGGGUUUUGUGCAUUCUCGUCAUGGAAGCCUCGUCAAGCCGCGUUAACAACGUAACGCAACGCCCGGUCCCUCGAUUAACGAUGUACUUUUAAGAGUUGGUUUUUGGGAGCUUUGAGGUUGCGUCCUUUGAGUGGAAGGACAGCCGUGUCAUCCCCCAUUCUUGUUGGUUUUGGGGUGUGACAGUUUCCAUAGAGUUGACGCUGCUCUUCGACCCUUAUAAGAUGGAGAAGAGGCUUACACAUAGCGAUCUCGACCACCUGUCGAGGCUCUUGAUCGGGCGGGACCUCGUGAAGAGCCACUUUCUUCGAUGGAUGAGCGAGGAGACAGUGAGGCAAGUCGAGAGCGGCAAGGGGGCCGAUGUCAUCGUGAGGGACAUGGACACGAGCUCUGAGCAUCGGCGGUAUUUGUGUUUUGGGCGUCGUCUGGGUCGUACGUCCUCAAGGGGUUGGAUCAAGGAGUUCGUGAAACGGAGGGGCUUGGCGGUGGCGAUGAGGUCGGGAUAUAUUGGGAGCCUAUUGCUAGAGAAUUCCACUUUAGCCUCCUCCACAGAGCGAAUUUGGCUUGAUCUUGAUGUAGUAUUUUUUCUUUCUUUUUUUUGAAGCCCGCUUCUGUCUUUAAUUUUGUUGUGGGAGUUUUCACUGUGGUAAUAUCUUUGAAUGGGUAAAGUUGAUGAUUGUAGAUUGGCAACAUCUGACUUUCUUAAUCCCGUUUGAGCAAAAUUUUUAAAUGAUCUUUU